CAAAGCGUUACCCCUUAAGGCGUUUUCGCGGAUUGGUGACACGUGGCAGGGUCGCGAUUGGACGCGUCCAGCUGGCAGGCGCGAGUCAACGCGCUGCUGCCCGAGGCGCCUUGGGUCGUGCCCAGGGCCCAGGCGCCUCCCCCCCGCCCCCCACACCCCCCCAGCCUCUUCCCACACCCCCUCCACAGCCUUCUUCCCACACCCCCUCC
rnacentral:lncRNA from 1 species